AUCUGCGCUAUGGCAAACCAGAAUCCAGGCAGAUCCGAAAAGUGAUUUCAGCAGUGAAGGGUUCUUUUGGUUCCUAGUCUCUCUGAGAGGCAUUGCCAUUUCACCAAGCUGACGAAUGACUUUGAUGGUCACACUCUGAUGCACUUACUAAAGAAAAUGUUAACGUUAAGAAAAUUAUGUUAUUUACUAACUGAAAAAUUAAUUGGUAGUAAAUCUGGAAGUGCAUUGAACUCCUAAUUUGAAAAGUUUAAAUGACUUUCCCAGAUGUGGUGAAGUGACUGAACAGUAUAAAGAAACAAAUUAAUACAUAAUAAACAAUCAUACUGAUGU